UACAGAGGUCUCAAGCGUUGUUCGGAUUCAUUGGGCGUAAAGGGCGCGUAGGCGGCCUUCUAAGUCGAACGUGAAAUCCCCGGGCUCAACCCGGGAACUGCGUCCGAUACUGGAAGGCUUGAAUCCGGGAGAGGGAUGCGGAAUUCCAGGUGUAGCGGUGAAAUGCGUAGAUAUCUGGAGGAACACCGGUGGCGAAGGCGGCAUCCUGGACCGGUAUUGACGCUGAGGCGCGAAAGCCAGGGGAGCAAACGGG
rnacentral:rRNA from 1 species